rnacentral:lncRNA from 1 species
AUUUAAACACAUUUUUGACGAAACCAAUAUCAUGAAAAUUGGAUGAAAAUCUUAAGUUGGAUUCAACUUUUGAGAAUGGAUGUUUAAUGAGGGAUGUUGCACUAAUCAUCCAUUGGCUCAAUAAUGCAAAGUGAUCCCAGACACACGAAGUUAUUCUACUAGAUUUUCACUUUCCUAAUGUGAGCAAUGGAUGUGGAGGAAGACUUGAUACCAUAUAUGUGUCAUUUAAUUGAGCUAUCGUGUCAUUUUCUUCACAUGUAUUGAUAUCUACCAACAUAUUCCACCAAAAAAUACUAAUCAACCAAAUAAAACUACAAAAGUAUUAAUGCACCAUAAGAUGGCAAGAAUAUUGCACUUGUGUCUAUUUUACUUAAGGCUUUUGCAAAUAACAACAAAAUACGUUAACUUGCAUUAGUUCCACCACGAAAAAAAGAUUAUCAGUCCCACCAUGAAAUAAGCUGAAUUUAAAGAAUAUGUGCUUUACAGACGUCAAUAAACGUGCAGUUGGAAGCACCAAACUAUACACAAGGAUAAUAUUCACAAUUCACAACACUGAUAAUAAUAUUUAUUAUAUUCGUGCACUUUCUAUUUCAACCUCAUAUCUAAUCAUAAUGUACUGCAAGUGCACUGUUUAACACUAAACCAUUCUCAUGGUAUGCAUAUCUCUAUCUUCCAUAUUCUUUAUAGAUAUUGCAGUACAGAAGUCAAUGAUAAACUAUGAAUCAUGUUUUUUGCAAUAAUUAAAUAAAGGAGAUAAAUACCAGAGACUUAUGGAACCUUUUCUUUUCUUGCAAAUUUUUUGGGAUUCAUUCAUAUCAUCAUCUUGCCCAUGAUUUUUAGUUCAUUAUCAGAUAACUUUGCAUUUGUACAUAGUAUCCCUACAACUAACCAAUGUAAAAAAAAAGGAACAUUUAUACGUUUUAAGUUAUUCUCUUGUCUCCAAUAAUGUAUCCAUUUAGUCUAACAAUUAAUUUCACAAGGCAUUCUAACUACAAUUAAAAUGUAAUCAAUUUCAUAAAGACAUAUGUUGCUAACCAAUUAAUAUCAGUUAACAUCUUUAGUACAAAUUAAUAAUCAACUUUCUUAAACAACAACGAAAAUGAACAAAUUAAACCAAAAUAAGCUACAUGAAUAUACGACAGUCACAAAUUUUUUUCCCAAACAACUAAGAACUCCCGAAAGCAAAACGCGGAACCCAAAUAUUAAUUCAACAUAUUCAGAACUUUGACGUCCAAAUUAAUAUAAAACUAGAAUGGACAAAAUGAAUUAGUAAAAUAUAGAAUUGUUUCUGGCUGUUGGUGCAUAAUUGUUUUACGGAUUUAAUGAUAUAAACAAUAAUCAGGUUAACUCCAGUGAUCAAUUGAAUAUUCUCUCGGUCGACGUCUUUUUCAAGAUCAAAUUUCAAGGGGUAUAUUUUGAAGAAUGGGAUCGUUAAUUAUACAGGAAAAAAUCAAUGCCAUAUGCUUACACCAUAAAAUUUCUUCAAGGUGAUAUCUUCCCAAAAAACUAAAUUUCUGCAAUUUUGCUGUAAAUAGCUAUUACCAAAGAAAUGGGCAGGUUGUUGAAUCCCACAGCAAGCUGCCUAUUUCUUUGGUAAUAGCUAUUCACUGCAAAACCUGCCCGUUUCAUGACUUGAGAUUCAUAAAAUAAGAAAAACUCACACGGUAAAAAAUUCAAAGUUGCGAAGCAUAAAUCUUCAGUGCUGAGAGGGGCGUAUGAGCGAUUGGGAUUAAGCAACCACGCGUCGACAGCUCUAUCACGGGUCCUCCAGCAGAACUCGACGGCAACGAACCUGAUGGAGCCCGGACGCUCUUUAAUGCGUCCCUGUACUUCUUAUACAAGAUCGUCUGAUUCCUCGUCGCCAUUGAAAAAAAAAAUAAAUAAAUAAAUAAAGUCUUGACCACGAGAUAACAACUUCAAAUCAAAAUCAAUUACGAUAUGAAUGAGAUCUGUAGUUGUGCGGAUUAGUGGACUUCUGGUUCAGUGUCAGGUUUGGGAUCAGAAAGGCUCCGGAGAGAAGUCAGAAUCUGGUUGAAUUUUUGGACGGAUUGGAAUUUCUGAGUAAUUUCAACAAUUCUCAGGGGCGGACCUAUUAAGGGUCUAGUGGGGGCAGUCGCCCCCACUGAAAUUUCA